GAGUGCAAACGGUCGUCGGACCUUUUUCUCGAUCGGCAACCUUUGCAUCUGUUGGUGCAUGCCAUUUUUGGAGGUCAAUGGUAUCUAUCUGAGAAGAUAAAGUUAUUUGAUAGGAGAGGUCAUGUUGCAAAACACUGUGUAGUUUUGCUUCCUCUACUUGUUGCAUCUUUUGUUGUCAUUUCUCGAGUGGAUGAUUAGUGGAACCACUGGCAGGAUGCAUUUGCAGGAGGUCUACUAGGUUUGUCAAUUGCAUUUUGACUUCUGUUGUAUUUAUCAGUUGAAAGCUAAUUAUAACAUCGAAUCACAGAUUCAAUAGGUUUAAUGGAAGUUUUUGCGCAGGUCUAGUGGUGGCCAUGUUUUACUAUUUGCAGUUCUUCCCGGUACCAUAUCACGUUGAUGGUAUCUUCUGCUGCUUUAACUUAUAGUACGCGG
rnacentral:lncRNA from 1 species